UACGUAGGAUGCAAGCGUUGUCCGGAAUUAUUGGGCGUAAAGAGCGAGCAGGCGGUCUGGAAAGUUGGACGUGAAAUUUUAGGGCUUAACCCUAAAGGGUCGUCCAAAACUUCCAAACUAGAGUGCAGGAGAGGAAAGCGGAAUUCCCGGUGUAGUGGUGAAAUGCGUAGAUAUCAGGAAGAACACCCGUGGCGAAGGCGGCUCUCUGGGACGGUACUGACGCUGAGACGCGAAAGCGUGGGGAGCGAACAGG
rnacentral:rRNA from 1 species